rnacentral:rRNA from 1 species
UACGUAGGUGGCAAGCGUUAUCCGGAUUUAUUGGGCGUAAAGGGAACGCAGGCGGUCUUUUAAGUCUGGUGUAAAAGGCAGUGGCUCAACCAUUGUAUGCAUUGGAAACUGGUAGACUUGAGUGCAGGAGAGGAGAGUGGAAUUCCAUGUGUAGCGGUGAAAUGCGUAGAUAUAUGGAGGAACACCGGUGGCGAAAGCGGCUCUCUGGCCUGUAACUGACACUGAGGCUCGAAAGCGUGGGGAGCAAACAGG